rnacentral:rRNA from 1 species
UACGUAGGGGGCGAGCGUUGUCCGGAAUCAUUGGGCGUAAAGCGCGUGUAGGCGGCCCGGUAAGUCCGCUGUGAAAGUCCAGGGCUCAACCCUGGGAUGCCGGUGGAUACUGUCGGGCUCGAGUCCGGAAGAGGCGAGUGGAAUUCCUGGUGUAGCGGUGAAAUGCGCAGAUAUCAGGAAGAACACCCGUGGCGAAGGCGGCUCUCUGGGACGGUACUGACGCUGAGACGCGAAAGCGUGGGGAGCGAACAGG